UGUGAUCCAGUGCAAAUCCACUUGGCUGCAGUACCUGGAAGCUGGUGGAUGUGGAGGAUUAAGAAGCAGGUAAAUGUCAAAGAGUUGGAGAACAGUACCUGGAAUUAGUAAAUCACCAAAGACAAUGCAGAUGAGACAGGUUCAUCUAUUUAGAUCAGUCUCUUGUAGGAGGCAGCGGAGCCAGAGGAAUGCAGAGCCUGCACACAUCAGUAAUAAUGAAUUGUUCCAUUGUGACACUUAAUGGGAAGGUUCAUUAUUUACAAGGAGUUUUUAAAUUGUGGGGGUUUACCCUGGCAAUGGCCAAGUUCUAUGGGCCAAGUUCCCGGAUGCUCUCCCAGAUUGGGAAAUCAUAAGCAGAGCUUGCGCAAACCUCCCACCUCUGGCUGCCAUAUGCAGGACCAAUGCCCAGGUGCUCAGUGCUGCUUUUACUCAUCCCUUCUCCGUGCUGGUGGCUUGAGCAGCAGAUGAGGCUCCCACCCUUCCCCUUCCUUGGUCCUGCUAGAGGGCAAGUGUGGGACAGCAAGGGGGGCAGAACAGGGGCGGGAGGCAGGACCCCAGUGUGAGGUAGUCUGUGCCUAAUCCAUACCCUGACCCAGAGAAGGGACUGGGACCUGCUUCCUGGGGCUGUGGCAGUGUGUCCUCAUAUGCGUAAUGCCACAUGCAUCUGGUCUGGGUCUCCAGAGUCCUGGCCAUCCUCUGCCCAGUGCUUGAGGGACACUGGCACCAAGUACAGCCAGCAAGAGGGGACCUGCAGGGGCUCUGAGCUGGAGAGACCUGCCAAGAGCCCUCCCUACUGCAGGAUCAGGCUGCUCCCGCUCUUCACUCUCUCCUCCCCACAGCUCCAGGUAGGGAACUGACCCAGGUGUUGCUCCACAUAAAGGAGAGAGGACCCCCCACCAGCCACUUUUGCUCCCAGCUCCCUGACAGCUGCAGGAUGUGGGAAGCUUUGCCUGCUGGCAGUGGAUGCUGCUCCAGUGGAAAGCCCUGAGUGCCAGCCCUGCUCCCUCCCUUUUUAGAUAUGGAUCGAUGAAGAGAUGACCCCAGCACCUGUGGCCCUGUCUCCUGGAAGAAAGGUAGUGAAGUGCGUGGGCCACGUCUGGAAAUCAGAUGCCCUGCGAGUGAUUCAGUGGCACUCCCUCUGCUCAUGCACCAAAGUUAUCAUCUGCCCUGUCCAGACAAGUUGCACCAGCAUGAGCAACAGCUAAAAGCCGGCAGUAUCCCAAGAUGACAAUAUCUGACAGCCCGGUGCUGCCAGGAUCCAUCUGCAGGCAACAGCCCUUUCCCAGGUCUUAAUCUCACAACAAAGCAACCUGGAGCUCUGCUUCAGGCUACGGAGACCAGUGGUCACAGCCCUGGAGGUCUGUGGCUUAUCCAAGACCUGGACUAGCCAAGAAGGAAUUGUCAACUUUGAAACAAGCAGGAUUGUGAGAGAAAUAAUGGGUAACAGGAUAGCAAAGCUCCUCCAGUACAGCCAUAGGACUCCCUCAUGUGCUAAGCAGAAUUGCAGUCCUGCAGCUAGGACAGAUCACACCCCUGCCAAGAUAACUUGAAGUCAUAGGAUAACAAAAAGCCCUUCUAGGUCUAAUUGUGAACCCGGUGAGUUUGGUGAAAGUUCAAACUGUGGCAGAGAACAGGAGCAGCUAGGACAGCCCAAGGCACCUUUGAGACCUCCUGAUGUCACCAACUCUGACCUCAGACACAAAACUUCCCAGACAUUCCCUCACAUCUGCUAGGCAGAAGAAUGAGAUAACUAGCCAUUAAUUAUUAUCUGGACCUUUAGAAAAAUCAUGGUACAGAUGGGUCCUGCCCUAGAAGGCUUGUGCUGUAACCAGUUGUGUGAGACUGUGGGAAAGACUGUGGGACUGGAGCUACAGGAUAUAAAUAUUACCUUCCUGCCUCCAAAAAGUUGUGAGUAAUAUGGUCAGGGAGGAGGUCACACAACUGAUGAACAACAUUACAGAAAUAACUGGAUAUGAAGUGAAUAAAUUGGAUUGAUUUAUCAGAAUUGGUUUGAUUUAUCAAGAUUUAGCACAAUCCUGCCCACAACAGCGACAAUGGUCUACACCAUGAUCUAGAGGAUCAAGACCAGCAAUGGGAUUAAAUAAAGGAUUAUUUUAAUCUGAUUGUGGCCAUGAAUUCAUGCAGUGAUAACAGGAUCUGGGAACAGAACCUUGACCUCCACACCAGCCUGCUAAAACCUGCCAGGGAGAAGUACAAGCAGGUAGAUGCUGCAUUCUGGCAAAUCACUGGAGGUGUGAACUGGUUCUGGCUGGGAUGGACUUAAGUUUCUUCAUAGCAGGCCGUAGGUUGCUGUGUUUGGGAUCUGUGACUAUGUUGAUAACACACCAGUGUUCUGGCUAUUGCUGAAGAGUGCUUGCACAGCAUCUUUUUCCCACUCUGCUCACCCCUAGGAGUAGGCUAGGGGCAUGCAAGAAGUUGGGAGGGAACACAGUCAGGACAGCUGAUCUGAACUGAUCAAAAGGAUAAGCCAUACCAUAUGACAUCAUGCUCAGCAAUAAAAGCUACGGGGAAAGGCAGAGGAAUGGGGGACAUCCAUCAUUAUGAUAUUUGUCUUCCCAAGUAACCAUUACAUGUGGUGAAGCCCUGCUUUCCUGGGAAUGGCUCAGCACUUGCCUGCCGAUGGGAAAUAGUGAGUGAUUUCCAUGUUUUGCUUUGCUUGCACAUCCAGUUUUGCUUUACCUAUUAAACUGUCUUUAUCUUCACCCAUGAGGUUUCUCACUUUUGUUCUUCUGAUUCUCUCCCCCAUUCCACUGGGGGAAGUGAGCAAGCGGCUGGGUGGGUACUGAGCUGCUGGUUGGGAUCAACCCCCAUAAACUGUCAUGCAGGGAAGCUCUCUGGGGCAAUGCACAGUCAGUCCUUAUGUUUAUUGCAACUCCUCCAGUCUCUUGCACUUUUCUCUGGAUGGCAACACUGCAGCCAGAAUGAGAACUGUGUUAUACUGUUUUCUGAUCGCCUCUUCUGAGAAGUCCUAGACCAUACCAUCUCUUCUUUUUCUUGGACUGUAGCAAAAUGACCCUUGAGCAGCCACUCAAUCAACCUGGUCUGCCUUCCUUUUGGGACAACCUUAUCAGCCUGCUCUUAAGUCCCUAAUCCUGGGCUGCCUGCAAAGAAAGAAUGCAGAGCAUAGUCAGAGGGAGAGACUCUGCUCCCCAUCUGCUUCAUCAGGCAAUAUUUUCUGCUCCUACAGUCUCACAGAUAGAUGUGGGCUCUAUUACUGCCCCAAAACACUUGACUUUCCCACCUAACUUGUUACUCUCUCCCAGCCAUGGCUUUAUUAUAUUAUUUUAUGGCACCAUUCUGAGUUGUGGUUUAUCCUUCCUUUUUGAGCUGAAUCUUAUUGUGGAGCAAGCCAUCAGUCAGCGAGCUCAAUAAGUAAUGUUCCAGUCCACACACAACCCAGACCCCUGGGCCAGAGGCAGCAUUCUGCAUCUCUUUGGAGGUAACAGAAAUGGUCCCUGGAGAAGGCACUGUGUUGGGUGAGAGAGAUGGAUAAACUGUUGGGAUCCCAGGGGACUGCUGCCUGGAGACAUUUGUUUCCUCUUGCAGGAAACUGUAAUGAGCAAGGAGCAAAAAUCCAACAGUUGUUGACACUGUCAAAUGGAGCAUAGCGUUUUUAUCGGAAUUGAAAAUUGCUGGUGGUUUUCAGCCAUUUUUGGCUGAAAAUUAUCUGUGUUCAGACCAAAGAUUUCCCAAAAUGAAGCAUUAUGGCUGAAAGCUUUUGAAAAAUGCCUUUUAGACUGCUGGCCUUUUCAUGAGGAAAUUUUGAAGACAGCAGCCAUGAAAUCUCAGCCAGCAGAAACAGAGGAUCCAAUUCAAGGGAUCCAUCUUGGUUAUGGGGACAAGGGGGACAGGAUUCUGUUGGUCUUUCCUUCUACUGACACAGCCCAUGCAGGCAGACUUCCCUUGUGGUACCAGUGCUGGAGCGAGUGAUACAAUCUGUUCAUUUCUGAACCCGUUCCUGGGGAACUACUGAUCCUGCCAGCAUCCUCCCUACUGUAAACCAGAAAAGCCUGGGUGUCUGUGGCUAGAAAGCAUCCAAGCCCUGCAUCCCAAGACAGUGUGUGAUUUAUGGAUGAAGAGUGUCCGAGCAUUUACGACACCAGAGGAGGAGAGCUUCUGCAUGCUGUUUGUAGCAGCUUGGCUUCUUGGCUGAAACUCACAGCCCAAGGCUGCUCGGGGAGAGAUGUGAUUGAUGGUUGGAAAGAGGACGAUGAGCUCAGGAUGCUAGAUCUGGCCCUGUCUCUGCUGGAGUGCAGGAGGAUCAAUGUGCACAUGAGCUCUCUCUGCUGCUCAGCGACACUAAGAGUUUGCUCCAGUUUCCACCCCAGCCUCUAAGCCCUGCUAAGAGUCACCAGUUCCUGUACUUCUCAUACUGGAUGGCUCAAGUGCCAGGGACUUAUUUUGUGAUGGCUACAGUCUGCCUAGCAGCAAUCAGAGUGUCUCAGAAAGAAUGGUGAAAAUGUCUGAUGUCAUUUUUUCUGCAAAAACUGCUCUGGAAUAUCUCCUCCUGGAGACACCCUUCUGAGAGUCAGAGCAACUUGUAUUUGGGAUUCAUGCCUGUAUACAGGACUUCUUCCAUAAAAGCCCCAGAGCUGUCAGCACAGGGGAGCCAGCCAGCUCUGCUUCCCCAUCUAGACAAAACCUAAUUCCAAGCUGAAAUUUCCUUAAGACACAUCUCAUAUUUCAGGAUCUUUUGGUGCUACUUUCAUCUCCAAUCCACAUAUUGCAGCCCUAUAAUAAUAAUAAUAGUAAUAAUAAUAGCAAUAAUAAUAGCAAUAAUAAUAAUAAUACCUUUUGUAUGUACAUAGCACCUUUCAUCCAAGGAUCUAAGUCACAAUUACAGCCCCACACAUUCCUGUAUAUUACAGCCCUAUAAUUCUAAGACUGCUCAAGUAUCCAGACUUCAAAGGGAAUGUGGAUUUCCCCUCCAGCCCAGUCACAGUGCCCAACAUGAUGGAGAUGUUUCAAAGAUGUUUCGAAGGUGUCUUGGCAGUAGCCAGAGAUCGUUAGAAGAGCCAGAGGAGCCCGCUGAAGCCAAAAGGAACCUUCGUGGAUUCUUUCCUCCCCUCUCCCAGCCACUUUCUAGUCUCCCUGGAAAGUCAGCGCAGCCCUGGGAUGAGGAUGAUGCUCCCAUG